GGUCAUGCUAGCUCGUUGGCUAUGAGCAUCUGUCUUGACGGGCAGAAGGUUCUGGGUUCGAUUCCCGGGCGGAUCU